CGUGAGCAACCUGCCUUUCAGUGGGGGACAACAUUUGGAAACGAAUGCUAAUACCGCAUAAGACCACAGUGUCGCAUGGCACAGGGGUCAAAGGAUUUAUCCGCUGAAAGAUGGGCUCGCGUCCGAUUAGCUAGAUGGUGAGGUAACGGCCCACCAUGGCGACGAUCGGUAGCCGGACUGAGAGGUUGAACGGCCACAUUGGGACUGAGACACGGCCCAGACUCCUACGGGAGGCAGCAGUGGGGAAUAUUGCACAAUGGGGGAAACCCUGAUGCAGCGACGCCGCGUGGAGGAAGAAGGUCUUCGGAUUGUAAACUCCUGUCCCAGGGGACGAUAAUGACGGUACCCUGGGAGGAAGCACCGGCUAACUACGUGCCAGCAGCCGCGGUAAAACGUAGGGUGCAAGCGUUGUCCGGAAUUACUGGGUGUAAAGGGAGCGCAGGCGGAUUGGCAAGUUGGGAGUGAAAUCUAUGGGCUCAACCCAUAAAUUGCUUUCAAAACUGUCAGUCUUGAGUGGUGUAGAGGUAGGCGGAAUUCCCGGUGUAGCGGUGGAAUGCGUAGAUAUCGGGAGGAACACCAGUGGCGAAGGCGGCCUACUGGGCACUAACUGACGCUGAGGCUCGA
rnacentral:rRNA from 1 species